GUUCAAGUCCCUCUAUCCCUA
rnacentral:tRNA from 1 species